ensembl:snoRNA
UGGGCCAGUGAUGAUCAUGAAAAGAAGAUCAUGAACAGUGAAAACAUGUCUGAAACUCUGAGGUCCAA